rnacentral:rRNA from 1 species
AUUGAACCCUGGUGGGAGGCUUAACACAUGCAAGUCGAGCGAGCGCCGGACGGGUGAGUAAUGUCUGGGAAACUGCCUGAUGGAGGGGGAUCAUUACUGGAAACGGUAGCUAAUACCGCAUACCAUCAGAUGUGCCCAUAUUGGAUUGGACAGUAGGUGGGGUAAUGGAUCACCUAGGCGACGAUCCAUAGCUGGUCUGAGAGGAUGACAAGCCACACGUGAACUGAGACACGGUCCAGACUCCGACGUGACGAAGCAGUGGGGAAUAUUGCACGAUGGGCGCAAGCCGGAUGAAGCCAUGCCGCGGGUGAGAAAAAGGCCUUAGGGUUAUAAAGCACUUACAGCGAGGAGGCGUUACUCGCAGAAGAAGCACCGGCUAACUCCGUGCCAGCAGCCGCGGUAAUAC